rnacentral:rRNA from 1 species
GAUGAACGUUGGCGGCGUGCCUAAUACAUGCAAGUCGAGCGAACAGACGAGGAGCUUGCUCCUCUGACGUUAGCGGCGGACGGGUGAGUAACACGUGGAUAACCUACCUAUAAGACUGGGAUAACUUCGGGAAACCGGAGCUAAUACCGGAUAACAUGUUGAACCGCAUGGUUCAACAGUGAAAGACGGUCUUGCUGCCACUUAUAGAUGGAUCCGCGCCGCAUUAGCUAGUUGGUAAGGUAACGGCUUACCAAGGCAACGAUGCGUAGCCGACCUGAGAGGGUGAUCGGCCACACUGGAACUGAGACACGGUCCAGACUCCUACGGGAGGCAGCAGUAGGGAAUCUUCCGCAAUGGGCGAAAGCCUGACGGAGCAACGCCGCGUGAGUGAAGAAGGUCUUCGGAUCGUAAAACUCUGUUAUUAGGGAAGAACAAAUGUGUAAGUAACUAUGCACGUCUUGACGGUACCUAAUCAGAAAGCCACGGCUAACUACGUG